UUGCCAGCCCGAUUCCCACACCAUCACUCUCAAUUCUCACCGAAUUUCUCCUCAUCUUUCUGGCCCCGCCUCUAUCGUACUCGUAUCCCCUCUGUGGCCGCCGCUUCUCAACUCAACAAUUCCUUUGCUUGCCGCUGGUUCUCAAUAAUCCCGUUUCUAAGCUGCCGUUUGCUGGCGGUCGACUUCAACCAUUUGCUGCUCAUCUGCUCUCCUUCCGCUCAUUUCUGCCAACUGCCAGUUGCUACAACUACUACCCUUUGGCCUUUGCUUCCGUUUUUCUGCUCAGUGCUCACUGCUACUGGUGUUUAGGUAUUUGAGUAUUGGUUUUGGAAUUGCAGGAUUCACUUCUGCUUCACUUUCCUUGCGACAAACUUUUUUGUUCUUAUUGCCUUAGAUGGAAAGUGAUAAUCUUGCAUACAUGGAACUUGCAAUUCACCAGGCAAAACUUGCUAUGGAGAGUCUUGAAGUGCCUGUUGGUUGCGUAUUCAUUAUGGAUGGGAAUGUCAUUGCCUCGGGUAGAAAUCGAACCACUGAGACACGAAAUGCUACAAGGCAUGCAGAAAUGGAAGCCAUAGACAUUCUUCUGGAGAAGUGGCAAAGAGAUGGGCUUUCGAAAGCAGUAGUUGCUAAAAACUUUUCACAAUGUGUUUUGUAUGUUACAUGUGAACCAUGCAUAAUGUGUGCUGCAGCUUUGUCAUUUCUUGGCAUAAAGGAAGUAUAUUAUGGUUGUGCAAAUGAGAAAUUUGGAGGAUGCGGAUCAAUUUUAUCCUUGCAUUCCAGUUUCUCAGAGCCAUUCAUCAGUGAUGAAAUUCCACAAAGGAAAGGUUUCAAAUGUACUGGAGGAUUAAUGGCCUCAGAAGCAGUCUCUCUUUUCCGAAGCUUCUACGAACAGGGGAAUCCUAAUGCUCCAAAGCCACAUAGGCCUCUAGUUCAAGAGAAAGCCGAGCGAUAAUUAUAGGGUUUGGUGUUGUCAAGUGAUUUAAAAGUGAUCAAAUGUUGGCCAUAAAGCUGUGAAAUGGAAGGUAAAGGGAGGAGGAUGCAAUGCAUAGGUGUUCCCCUCAAGAACUUUAUUAUUAUUAUUAUUUGCCUUUGUUCUUUUCCGCUACAUAUUUCUUAACCUAUAAGAAGGGGUGAACCGUCAACAGCCGACGAACCUAACUUAAUCCCAUCAACAAGAAUAUAAUAAUAAUCUUUUGUGUAAACUAAAUGACCCCAUAGAGUGUCUAAUUGAGAUUAUACACUUUGUUCAUACAAGGGAUU